rnacentral:rRNA from 1 species
UACGGGGGGGGCAAGCGUUGUUCGGAAUUACUGGGCGUAAAGGGCUCGUAGGCGGCCAACUAAGUCCGACGUGAAAUCCCCAGGCUUAACCUGGGAACUGCGUCGGAUACUGGAUGGCUUGAAUUCGGGAGAGGGAUGCAGAAUUCCAGGUGUAGCGGUGAAAUGCGUAGAUAUCUGGAGGAACACCGGUGGCGAAGGCGGGUCUCUGGGCCGAUACUGACGCUGAGGAGCGAAAGCGUGGGGAGCGAACAGG